rnacentral:misc_RNA from 1 species
GGGCUUUGCUCGACUUGUGCUUUCGAUGCAUCAGAAACCAAAGGAGUGCAUGUUUUGUGGCCUAAAGAAGAAACUUCAAAAUGCAGAAGGUGGAGAGAAAACAAAGAAGAGAAGUGAGUAUUAAUUUUAGCUAAUAUUAUCUUAACAAUAGUCCCUCCAAUCCUCUAAAUCUUUUGUUUUCUUGAAAAAACCCCAGAAAGAUUCAAUACAAAUAAUUAAAAGUUUCAAAAAUUCAAAAUAAAUAAAUCUCUCUUGUGAUCUUGCUUUAGAAUUGAAAAAUCCUUAAUUAAUAAAAUUGGAAGCAAGCUUGUUUAUUAACUAAAUUAAAAUUUUGAGAAAUAGGUAGUAGGUGUCCUAUUUUGUAAAGGGGAAAAAAUUCAUAUUUACAAAAAAAGGGAAAAAUUCAUAAUUACGAGAAAAAGAAGAAUCUCCAGGAUUUCAGGAAAAAACGGUCAUCUUACGCCGUGGAAAGGCAAAGCCGCCAAUGGAGAAAAUAUGAAGUCGAGGGUUUUGCACUCACCGAAUUGGCCCUUUCGAGAGAGGGUCCGUACCCCUCUCUCUUUUUCAUCUAAUUUGAACACUCAAUCCCCACUGCCCCAAAUGGAGAAAACACGAGAAAUUGCGGUCUCCCAGAUGAGGAAAUCAGUUGAGAAGCUUGGUUCAUCAACUGAGAGUUAUGGGGAUACAUCACUUAUGAGAUUCUUGAUUGCGAGGUCAAUGGACCCAGAGAAGGCAGCAAAGAUGUUUGUACAGUGGCAGAAAUGGAGGGCUGCAUUUGUUCCUAAUGGGUUUAUAGCAGACUCUGAAGUUCAAGAUGAGCUGCAAACAAGGAAGAUAUAUUUGCAGAGUUUAACAAAAGAGGGAUAUCCACUGUUGAUUGUCAAAGCAAGCAAGCAUUUGCCUGCAAAGGAUCAUCUACAAUUCAAGAGUAAUUAGCUCAACUCUAUAAAUGCACUCUUUUUGUGACAAUUGAUUAGUUUAUAACUAUGCAUGCUAUUCAAUUUUUGUUCUAGUUAAUCAAAUUUGGUUUGAUUGGUGAACAAUUCCUUUUAAUCUAGAUUGAAACAUACAUGGGCCAUAUCAAGAACUAGUUUUGACAUAAAGGUGGGUGGAUGGUUGUGACUGUUUGGACUGUAUGGCUUGUUUCGUGUCCUGUGGGGUUCACAAUUCUUUCUUUUUCUUAUGUAUUCUGCCUUCAAUUAUUAAACUAUUCUGUCUGGUAUUGUUUAGUUAUUUUGUACUUUAGGAUCAUCAAUGCCCAAUGGAAAUAAUGUGUGGUCACAAUCACGAUAGGCAAGAAUGCUUUUUCUGGAAGAUGAUCCUCUUAUUAUAACUGUUGUAUUUGAAAUCUGCAAAAGAUGGAGCCCUUCAAUAUAAAAAAUGAAGAGAUUAGGCCCGUGAAUGAAAGCCUCCCAUCAACAGUUAGGAAAUAGCAUAUGGGACAUUUGAAUAGGAUCAGAAGUUCAGAACAAUAAUUGCUGGUUUGUUGGGCCGAUUGGUUUUGCCAUUUAUUUUUAACAAGCAUAUUUAUUGUGCAUUUUUUGUUUAUGAAUGAUAGAACUAUACAAAUUAGACUCUAUGAAUCUGUUAAAUGUCAGAAUUUGGACCUGUAUUAUCAACUGAUGUGGGAAGUCUAUUUGCUCUCUAUCAAUCAGUUACUUGUGCGUGGGAAAUCAAUAUUAUUCUCCAGGUGUUUCUGGAGUUUGUUUGUCCCUACAAUUACUUCUGUAGUCCACAAUCAUUCUUCAAGAAUGGUUUUGCAAAUCCCCUUUAAUAAAAUAUCUCCAUAUUCUUGUAUCUGCAUGCUUGACUGUGAGACUUGAUAAUCCAUAUUAUUAUCAAUUAUGUGUCCAUCAUUAUGUUUUGUAGGCUAAGUAAACAAGGGGAUUUCUUGUUCUCAUUUUGGAAUAUCUUUGAAGCUGCUUCAUGAUUGCAUUUGAUGAUCUCCCCUACCCAAAAAUAAAUGGGUGAAGAUGAUUACAUAAACCAAUAAGGCAUCUGAGCUUUUACCUUUUGUUCUCUUUGUGAAUAUAGAUAGCACGUUCUAUAGGUCAAGAUAAGCUGCUUUGGGAUUAGAAAUAUCCAUGUUUAGUACACCAACUAUAUGAUUGGGAUUGAUGAAUUGGAUCUCAAUUAGGAUAUCAAUGUUUAUAUUUCUGCAUCAUAUGCUGUAUGCUGUAUGUACAUAGCAAGACUACAAUUUAAAUAAGCUCAACUUCCCCCUUUCAUCAUCAUGAUAAUACCUAGGAAGUGAACAUUUAGCUCAUUUUGUUUCACUUCUUGGUGCAGAGUUUGUGGUUCAUUUGCUAGACAAAACAAUUGCAAGCUCAUUGAAAGGAAAAGAAAAAGGAAAUGAAAAGUUGAUUGCCAUUCUCGAUCUGCAACAAAUUACAUAUAGGAACAUUGAUGCACGUGGUUUGAUCAUUGGUUUUCAAUUUUUGCAGGUAACUCCUCUAUUUAUAAUUUUUAAAACAAUAAAAUAUUCUCUCUAGCAAUAGAUAAAACACAGGGAAACAAAGGGUUCAUGACGAAAAGGGCUAAGAAAACUUCAUAUAUGUAAUAGAGGAAAAAUUUAACAGUACCGGACAGCAGACACGUACCAAUAUAAUUUUUGGCAUGUCUUUUGUUGGAACCUUUGCUGUGGUGCAAAUCACACCAAGUUUUAAUUUUUAGUUUGCAAACUGGUUGGACUCAAAAUCCUUUUUUAUAUUUCAUCAGUUAAACUUGUGUUUUGUAUAUCAUUGUGAAUUCUGAUUCAUGCAGGCUUACUACCCUGAGCGUUUAGCAAAGCUCUUCAUUUUACAUAUGCCAUGGUUCUUUGUUAGUGUAUGGAGGAUGGUUUCUCGUUUCCUUGAGAAAGCAACACUGGAAAAGGUAUUUAUAUAUAUUAUGAUUGUAAAUUUAUGCAAAUGUUGGGAGUGGAUAUAGCAAUAACCCUAUGUGCAAGUCAUUUUCUUGAUUGUAAGUUUACAACAGAUUUAAUGCUAUCAGCAUCUUAAAAAAGUUCUGUUUGUACUUGCAGUUUUAGCUAUCUCCAACAUGUUAAUGUAUAUGGUCACUGAUUCUUAAUUGAAUUAAAAAAAAAAUGUUGACCCGAUGCACGAAGCAUUCUAUACUUGUGGACUCUAGAGAGGGUUGAUAUACGCAGCCUUACCCUUUGCUUUGUAGAGGUUUUUUCCAUGACUUGAACCCGUGACGUUGGUCACAAAUGGAGUAACUUUAUUGGUACACCAAAGCCACCCUCUUUGAUACUUAUGUGAAUACUGUACCUAAUCGAUGGGGUUUCUAAGCUAUUUUAUUAUUCUGAAGAGACAGUUUUUAAUUAUUGUUGUUAUUAGUGAUAUAAAGGGGCUUGGGAGUGGGGAGGGAAAAAUGUUAUUUGCUAAACUUGUGGCAUCCUGUUGGUUUCUCUCUGAACUUUAUUUAGCUAGCUAAUAGCUAUCCUGUAAUUUGGGUCACUUUAGAUUCCCCCUUAGCUAAGAAUUAUGUUUUGAAAUUGAUCUGUGAUAUUAAUGUAUCAUUCUACAUUAACUGGGUUUGAAGUUGGCUUUUGCUUUACGGUGAUGAAUGCAGAUUGUUAUAGUCAGCAAUGAAGAAGAAAGAAAAGAUUUUAUGAAGGAAAUUGGUGAAGAAUCCUUGCCUGAAGAGUAUGGUGGUCAAGCGAAGCUUGUAGCUCUCCAAGAUGUUAUUCUGCCUCAGUUGGAGGUUUGAACCCAAAAAUAGGUUAUUGUAGAAGUUCUAUAUAUACCAUAUAGAUGAUACUUACUGUCAAUAAGAGGUGUUGACUAAUUCCAAUUUGAAAACAUGUUAAUCAAUGUUGACUAAUUAUAUUCUCUACUGCUUUUGAAGUUCCCUUGUCAUUGACAUUAAUGGAAAGGUUCGUCAGAAUAAGAUGGUCUCAAUUGUUUGUGUAUCUGGAAAGUGAGGAAACUGAUUUUGCUAUUGACAAUCUGUCUUGGCUGAACUAUGGUUGCAGUAU